AUGGGGGGGCGUGCCUAAUACAUGCAAGUCGAGCGGACAGAUGGGAGCUUGCUCCCUGAUGUUAGCGGCGGACGGGUGAGUAACACGUGGGUAACCUGCCUGUAAGACUGGGAUAACUCCGGGAAACCGGGGCUAAUACCGGAUGCUUGUUUGAACCGCAUGGUUCAAACAUAAAAGGUGGCUUGGCUACCACUUACAGAUGGACCCGCGGCGCAUUAGCUAGUUGGUGAGGUAAUGGCUCACCAAGGCAACGAUGCGUAGCCGACCUGAGAGGGUGAUCGGCCACACUGGGACUGAGACACGGCCCAGACUCCUACGGGAGGCAGCAGUAGGGAAUCUUCCGCAAUGGACGAAAGUCUGACGGAGCAACGCCGCGUGAGUGAUGAAGGUUUUCGGAUCGUAAAGCUCUGUUGUUAGGGAAGAACAAGUACCGUUCGAAUAGGGCGGUACCUUGACGGUACCUAACCAGAAAGCCACGGCUAACUACGUGCCAGCAGCCGCGGUAAUACGUAGGUGGCAAGCGUUGUCCGGAAUUAUUGGGCGUAAAGGGCUCGCAGGCGGUUCCUUAAGUCUGAUGUGAAAGCCCCCGGCUCAACCGGGGAGGGUCAUUGGAAACUGGGGAACUUGAGUGCAGAAGAGGAGAGUGGAAUUCCACGUGUAGCGGUGAAAUGCGUAGAGAUGUGGAGGAACACCAGUGGCGAAGGCGACUCUCUGGUCUGUAACUGACGCUGAGGAGCGAAAGCGUGGGGAGCGAACAGGAUUAGAUACCCUGGUAGUCCACGCCGUAAACGAUGAGUGCUAAGUGUUAGGGGGUUUCCGCCCCUUAGUGCUGCAGCUAACGCAUUAAGCACUCCGCCUGGGGAGUACGGUCGAAGACUGAACUCAAAGGAAUUGACGGGGGCCCGCACAAGCGUGGAGCAUGUGGUUUAAUUCGAAGCAACGCGAAGAACCUUACCAGGUCUUGACAUCCUCUGACAAUCCUAGAGAUAGGACGUCCCCUUCGGGGGCAGAGUGACAGGAGGUUGCCAGGUCGGUCCAAGGACUGAUCUUAGUUGCCAGCAUUCA
rnacentral:rRNA from 1 species